rnacentral:lncRNA from 1 species
GUAUGGCUGGCUGGGCGUGGUGGCUCACACCUGUAAUCCCAGCACUUUGGGAGGCUGAGACAGGCGGAUCAUGAGGUCAGGGUAUCGAGACCAUCCUGGUUAACACGGUGAAACCCCAUCUCUACCACAAAAAAAUUAGCUGGGCGUGGUCACGGGCACCUGUAGUCCCAACUCGGGAGGCUGAGGCGGGAGAAUGGCAUGAACCCAGGAGG